rnacentral:lncRNA from 1 species
GUUGCAUCUUUUCAGCGUCCAGAAAGCGCGCUUGCCUCUUCAAGCUGUAAGGAACCUGGACGUCUCGGCUUCGCGAGAAGGUCUCGCAGCGGCCUCCCUUGGAAAUUUUUCUCGUUUGAAGAAAGUCCCCAUCAAAUCGAAUGCAGACUUUCCUGUGGAGGCUUCUGCAGUGUCCGUUCUCAUAAGCAGAUGAGUCUGUGGUUCAUGUUUCUCGUUGUCCUGUUUACCUGCCCCGCGAAAGCAGUGUCCGGCAAGAGACGAGACACGUGACCGCGGCACAAACAGAGAACGAGAGACUGAAGGGAGGCAAGGGGCGCACAUGCGCAUGAACGAUUCCUAUUCAUGUAUGCUUAUGCGCCUGUGUAUGUGUGUCUAAACCAACGGAUGCAUCUUCACAGAAUAAUUCAUACAGGGAAUGAGGGUCAACACGCACCUGGUAGGUAAGCCUUUGCAACAAGAGUUACAUGUAGACUCGAAGGAUAUUAUGACGUGAGACUGGAGGCGAUUUGUUUGUCGCACGCCAGAUGGUAUGCAGAAGAGAAAGGGUGGGUGUCACAUUUUAAGGAGUACCGGGGAUAUUAGGUCCUGCUGGCGUACGGACUCUACGCAUCUCCCACCUUCUCAUGCUGUUCGAACGACAUAAGAUACUGGGGGAUUUAGUGAUAUGGUGGGGCUUUUCUGUAAAGAGAGCAGCAAUGUUCUCUUCUUGUGGAAACAAAGGAAACUGUUUAGAAUCGAAAAACACUCAACGAGCGCCGUGGCGUAGGUCCUGAAGUUCUUUGGUGACUGCAGCAUUCCAUUGCCGUGGAGGUUUGUCGUCAGUUGUUCAAAAAAACAAUAUGGUCAACCAAUGAAUUUUUGGGUGCAUGGAAUGAUGAAUUUUUUUUCGGACUAGUUCAUACUGCAAAUCUCUCAGCACAUAAUCAGCCAAGACCCCUUUGAAAGGCCUGUUUGGAACUUGCGCUGCUGGGAGCACACAUACGUGCAUGUCGAGAAUAUAUACAUUUCUCGCGCCUUUUUUGUAAGGAUAUCAAAACAAUGAAGUUGACGACACGAAGAGCACGUAUAACGCAAAUUGAAAUACGAGCAGGCGGUAUCGAGAGU